rnacentral:rRNA from 1 species
GAUGAACGCUGGCGGCGUGCCUAAUACAUGCAAGUAGAACGCUGAAGGAGGAGCUUGCUCUUUCCGGCUGAGUUGCGACCGGGGGAGUAACGCGUAGGUAACCUGCCUGGAAGCGGGGGAUAACUAUUGGAAACGAUACCUAAUACCGCAUAACAGUAGAUAUUGCAUGAUAUUUGCUUGAAAGGGGCAAUUGCUCCACUACCAGAUGGACCUGCGUUGUAUUAGCUAGUUGGUGAGGUAACGGCUCACCAAGGCGACGAUACAUAGCCGACCUGAGAGGGUGAUCGGCCACACUGGGAGUGAGACACGGCCCAGACGCCUACGGGAGGCAGCAGUAGGGAAUCUUCGGCAAUGGACGGGAGUCUGACCGAGCAACGCCGCGUGAGUGAAGAAGGUUUUCGGAUCGUAAAGCUCUGUUGUAAGAGAAGAACGAGUGUGAGAGUGGAAAGUUCACACUGUGACGGUAUCUUACCAGAAAGGGACGGCUAACUACGUG